CCACAGAGAACAAAAUCCUGGAGGUGUUCUGCAGAGCAGGUAGGCACCUCAGAUUUCUCUUUCCAGCAACCUCCUUUGGAGGCCAUCAGUGGCCGGAGCUGCUCUGCUGUCACAUUUAAAGGGAGAUGCAUCCAGGCUGGACAGACUGGCUGGACUCUGAUGGAAACCAUUUCAACCCCAGCAAGAGGAUGGUUUUCGACUGGAUACAAACGCCAUGCAUAUUACAAGUAAGU
rnacentral:lncRNA from 1 species